CCCGGUCCGGUCCCGUUCCGUUCGUUAGGGUUUAGUAGUAGCGGGGAAGAGGAAGGAAUGGCGGACGUCGAGUACCGCUGCUUCGUCGGCGGCCUCGCCUGGGCCACCGACGACCAGUCCCUCCAGAACGCCUUCUCCAAGUACGGCGACGUCAUCGACUCCAAGGUACCGUCCCCUCCCCGAUCCGCCCGAUAGAUCUGUAGAUUCGAGAUGGAUCUGUGGUGUUGCGCUUGUGGAACCCUAGAUCUGACGGUUUUGUUGGUGCAGAUCAUCACUGACAGGGAGACGGGCCGAUCCCGCGGGUUCGGGUUCGUCACCUUCGCGUCGGACGAGGCGAUGCGCCAGGCGAUCGAGGCCAUGAACGGCCAGGACCUGGACGGCCGCAACAUCACCGUCAACGAGGCGCAGUCCCGUCGCUCCGGCGGAGGAGGCGGCGGCGGCUUCGGCGGCGGCGGUGGCGGCUACGGGGGCCAGCGCCGUGAGGGCGGCGGCGGCGGCGGCUACGGCGGCGGCGGCGGCGGCUACGGAGGUGGCCGCAGCGGCGGCGGCGGCGGCUACGGCAGCCGUGACGGCGGCGGCUACGGAGGCGGCGGCGGCGGCGGCUACGGCGGCAGCCGCGGCGGCUCCGGCGGCGGCAACUGGAGGGAGUGAAUGGUGGGGCCCCUAGCUGGCCAGUUAUCCUAGUUACCGAUCCCUUUUUUUACCUGUCUACCAAAGUGUUAUCGCUCGCUCCCGAGUACCCUAGAUCUCGCUCCAUCGCGUAGGUUCCGAGAUGUUCUGGCUACCGUUAGAUGUGACGCCGCUACCGUUCCGUGUUACUUGUUACCGUCCCUGUUCCGUUCGCUAUGAAUGAAAUGAAAAAUCAGAGCAAAAGUUUGUUCGCAUGUUAUGCUUCCUUGGAAGUUUGUUCCUUUUUUCUUUUUGUGCCGUGAAGUUGGCGCUCGAUGAUAAUUUUGCUGCGCCCACUGGAUGAUAUUUUGGCGCCGAUUGGCUGGAUUGGAUUAAUCCUUACAAAUCUAAGAAGUGCAUUUUUUUCAAAAAUUGGUGCAGAUGGUCAUGCGUUCAGGCCGUGCCCUGACAAUGAUUGAAUUUAGAGAAAAAAGGCAUGAUGUCAAGGAAUUGCUCAAAUAAAGUUAACAGAAUCAUGUUCCAUGAUGAAUUAAAACUCUUAGCAAUUAGAUGAUAUAACUCAAAUUUUAAACGUAGCAGAUUGGGGACUCGCAAAAUACUGUUACCACAUUAUGGAUCAAAUAAUUUCUUAAAAAUAUGCAACACAAAAGGUAAAUCAAUUUGCAAGUUUCGCACCAAAAAUUAUUGUACACGCAUACACCGGGGGUGAAAGUACAAUAUAUUCAAUGGAUAGAAGUAGUAAGAAGUUGCAUAGUUGAGCAGUUUCUGAUGCAGCUGUGGAUUCAUUCCGAUAUAUGCAAAUAUCUGUUGGGUGUGCCGAACCGAAGAGAUAAACAAUCAGCUUAAUAGUCAAAGAACCUAUCUGCAAGUAUAUAUAUAUAUGAGACAAAAGGAAUUAUAUAUAUAGUUACAGAACACUAAAAAAAUAAUGCGCACACACACUUAAUUGAAGGAUCAGCUUAAUAGUAUAUGCCAAUUGCUGGGGAGGUGGGCAUCGCUCAGCGAUGGUAGAUUUCGACGCUCAUGUAUGCUCGUUUAAGCCGCGGGGCCGGUGGCGGCGCGAUGACAAACACAUGUGGUGCGGGGCACGGAGUUGAUGGAGCCGCCGCGACCAGAGGAAGAGCCAGGCUCAUGGUCGUGCUUCCCCUUACUGAUCCAAUGCCAGCCCAUGGCGCCGACGGGGAGGUAGGUGAGAGGGAUGUGUCGGCGGCUAGGGUUUGCGAGCUCGUGUCGGGGCUCGAGGGGGCAACCCGGCUCGAAAGUGGAAGCCGCGGACUGGCCGGUCCAUGGCUUCCACAUUAAGAAGGACGACAACCGGGGCUGUUGGGUGGCAAACGAACGGACCCGCCGCGCGUGCGCACUUAAUUUGGGCGUUGGAGGUAGGUGAACGGCCGCCACACGUCACGCGGGCGGACUGGAAGCGAGCGAGCGCGUGUUCGUUCGCCGUUCGUGCUGCAAAUAGGGCGCGCCGGCCGCGAAACGUACAACAUCUGCGGAUGCGGCUGCGUGUUGGACCAUGGGUUGUGUCCGUUUGGCCCAAAACGGACGCUCGCGGACCAGACAGGGUCUGCGUUGAAGUUGGCCUCGGGUUUUCCACUCCACUGCUCUCGUGCAGCAGCAGGCGGGGCACGUGUGUGGUUGAGAAACCCGGGCAUGGACAGCCCAGCCCGGCGACCCGGCCCGAGAAACCUGGGCCUGGAUUACAAAGAAAGAAAACAGUUUCGGGCAGGGCUCGGGCUUUGAAUUCCAGCCCGAAAUUAGCCCGGCCCGGCCCACCUAUACGUGAAAAUGGAGAGGAUUAGAGGAGGUAGGCCGACAUCCAGCAGCCCACCACGGUCUACCAGCCUCCCCCGAGGCCCAGAGCCCCAUCGCCACAUCGCUAACCUAGCCGCCAUCGACGGCGCCCACACUGGUCGGCGGUGGCUCACCCUGGACGGCGGCGGGGCCCUUUAUAGGGACUGGAUCGACCUUCACCGCCCCGUACUUUUGUUCUGGACGCCUCAGCUCCGUCGGUCUCCAGUGAUCUCGGCCGCAUCUCGUCGUCUCCAUCGACGCCGGAACAACACCAGGGCCUCUUCUCCACCAUCCAGCUCGGUAAGCUCGUGCUAGUGCUGCCCGUGAUCCGUGUCAAGUGUAUGAAAUAGCUGCCGGCAAGUGUUGAUGACAUGUUGUGAUGCUAUAUUCUGAAUUCCUGAUAUGUUCGUAAAUGCUAUAUUGUGAAAUGUGUAUGCCAUGAUCUGUUCAUAAAUGCAUUUGUUUAUCUUCGUGAAUUUGUGAUAGAGUAUGAUGCCAAUGCCAUAUUGUGCUAGACUGAUUUGUAAACCUAACGUAGCCAUGGCCGCCGGCGGCGACCACCCGGACGCCAACAAGCGGAAGCGCGAGGCGGCGGGGAGGUCCAAGGCGCCGUCCAAGGGGGCCACCAAGCGGAGCAAGACCUACGGCGCCCCCGCCGCCAAGGCCGAGCCGCAGCCCGUCACCGCCAAGGACAAGCGGGUCGCCGCCAAGGUAUCCCAUUGGUGCUCCUUUCCUGUUGUGAGCUAGUUUGGGGCCCGGGUGUUGGUUUAGUACUUUAGUUAGUUCAUGGGCUGCUUGAGCUUGAGCUGAAACCGGAAUGCUGUUGGCUGUUGUGGCAGGAAAUGUCCGAGUCGAGGAAGAUGAAGAGGAAGCCCAAUUACAACCUUGAGAAGGUAAUUUUUUGCUUGCUUUCCCUGCCACGCCUGCUCCGAUUAUGGAUGCGCAACUCGGCUCCUGGGUGUGGGUUUCAUCAUGUACCUUUUCAGUAGCAACCCUUGCAUGCUCAACCUUCAGAAUGCACUUGCUGCGUAUAUAGUACCAGUUAGUAAAUCGACGUAUGAUGCUUGUAGCCUAAACCAAAACAACAGACCUCUGACUAUUUACAUGAUUAAAUCAAUCUUCUGGAUUUUUAGUUCCGGACUUGAAUUCUGGUGGUACCGUCGUACCGUUACUUAAUUUUGACAGCGAAGCAAAAACUGGCUUUCAUCCCAGUAAUGGACAGUACCAGUGCCUUCUUGAACCGUCAACUCUGUUUAUGAUGAUUCAGUAACAUACUUUGUGUCGACUCUAAUUUGGUGUGCUCCCGCGCCCAAUAUUGACAGGAACUGGCAGUACUAUGGGAAAAGAUGAGAUGUGAUGUGAGCAAGGAGAAUAGAUCGAAGUAAGUGUCACUAUUAAAGUCUUGUGAGUUGCAACUUGUGUUCAACUUCUUAUGCCGAUGAGUUUGUCAUCUCUGCGGCAGGCUAGUAACCAAGGCUCUCCGUAAAAUGGAUGGCAAAUAUUUCGAAAUUGCUGGAUCCCAUGUAACCGCACGUGUUCUUCAAGUAAGUGGACAGCAUCCAUUCUUUAUGACCGCGUUGCUUAUGGUGUUUUGGUGCUUAUUCUGAUAGCCGCCAUUCCUUUUUCAGACAUGUGUCAAGUGGUGCUCACAGCCAGAGAGGGAUGCUGUUUUUGUUGCCCUGCAGCCACAUCUGCUCCAUCUUUCUCACAAGAAAUAUGCUGUUUUCCUUGUGAAGAAGCUCAUAAAAACUCGGUAAAUUUCUCUACGAUUCGCCAGAAACUUGUAUGGGUUCAUAUGUGAGAAUGUUGCUCGUUUGUUUGAUAACCCGUAGCUUCACUAAUAUACCUCUUGUUUGUGACUGCAGCCACUAAAAAACAGCUUGCUUUGUUCAUCUCUUCCCUUCAUGGUCAUGUCGCUUCUCUACUUCGUCACACAGUAGGAGCUGCAGGUAUGUGCUGCUAUGUGUUGCUGUCAUAAGGGGUAGGAACUCGUCGUGUAUAGGAGCAGCAGGAGUUAAUGGUUGAAUGCCAUUGUAUGCAUGCGUUUCUAUUUGCUAUACAAGUAAAGGGUUACAUGGUAAUCUCACAUUGAGAUACACUCUUUCUUGCAGUUCUUGAUUGCGCCUUUCAUCAGGCGACACCGCCUCAGAAAAGAAGCUUGUUGUUGGAAUUGUACUCCACCGAGCUUCAGCUGUUCAAGGACCUGACUGAACAAAAAUCAUGCAGGUUGGCACGCUAUAAUGUCUUGUCAUACAUCUGCUUUGAAGUUUCCCCUUAACUUCUUUUACUUGUCUGUUGAAAACUUAAACUUUGGCGGAGGGAAAUAUUAUUGUAGUCAUCCACUUAUCCUGCCAUAGGUGGCUGCAGUUAUUUGUUUAGUUCAAUAUAUACUAAAAUUCACCUUCCUUUUUCAGUUUGUUAGAAACAAUUUCCAAGCUUGGACUGCACAAAUCAUCUGUCCUGCAGUACAUGGCUACUGUUAUCCAGCCAGUUUUGGAAAAAGGCAUUGUUGAGUAUGCCAUAGUACACGUAGUCAUAUUGGAGUACUUAACAAUUGCGGAUAAGGUAAAUGUAUUUUAUUGACGCGAUUGGCCUAUCUUUACAACAAAGCUCUCCUUUUUUGGUGAAAUGUUUCUUCAGCUUAUCGCACUAUCUAGUAUAUGCAUGUGUUCUGUAUAAGGAUGCAAGCGGGCAUCCCGCAUAAGCCCGCCAAAACAGGAAUUUAGUUCAAACUGAACUAAAGCUGAACCGGAAAGAUUAUAACUAAGUUGAUUUACUUUGACUACGAAGCGGGGUGGAUCGGGCGCCGCCUUGCAUCCCUAGUUCUGUAGACAUCAGCCUUGGACGUGAUUCGUCAGUUAAUCCCCCAUCUUACUCAAGGGUCAUCUGUCGUAGAUGGAGAUGAACUAUCAGGUGUCGCUGAAGUACCAACAAAAUCAAAAGCUAAGAAGAAGAGAUCUUCAGAACCAUUUCUCAUUCGGAUCAUGCAGACGAGGGAAGGAUUAAAAUUAGGUCUUGCUUGCCUCAAGCAUGGCAGUCGAAGGUACAUUGUCUUUUUUCUUUCUUUCCGUUUUCUUAUUUGUAUCUCGAAGGACAGAUUUCAGAGCGAUCACUUGGUAUAACUUUGCCCACUCAGCUGCUUUAUCCAAAGUUUAUUUAUUAACUUAUGUAGAUUUCAGAGACACUAAAUAGUCACGCAAAUUGAACCAUGCAUUUGUUAGUGCUGCAGGCUGCAUAUUCAGUAGUAUUUCUUUUCAUUCUUGUUUAUUUCCAGUGUGCUUUUGCCAUUUAACAUGGUAAUGCAUUUCAGGAUAGGAAGAAAAUUAUCAAAAGCUUGAAGGGGCAGGUUAUGAAGCUUGCUCUCAGUUAUUAUGGAUGCCUUGUAAGUGAUGUCUAUAUAUGUAAUAUAUUUUAGUGUUUAAAUAUGAUGCUACUGUGUGAAUUUAUGCUUUAACUUUUAAAACAUUCUCCCCAAUAUACAGUAAUUUCAUAUGGUUUUAUUCUUCCAAGUGAUUAAUCAUCAACUAAACUAUCAUGUCUUUUUUUCUCCAGUUUCUUGCUUGUCUUCUCUCCAUUGUUGAUGACACAAAACUUGUUACUAAGGUUAGCCGGCACCCAUCGUUUGCUUGAAGCAAGUGUUAUGCUGCCAUUACAAUUGACAAGCAAUCUGAAGAGACAAUGCUUAUAGCUCACUUUUAAUAUUUGUAGGUUGUAAUUGAAGAGCUGACAAAGCAGUUAAAGGAACUCAUAUUUGACAAGGUAAAAGGAAUAAUGAGCUUCUGAUAUGCUUGUUUUUAUUUGUUAGUUAUAAGCACAUGAGACUAUUUAUGAUGGAUCUCCUUGCUGGAACAGAACGGGAGACGCCCAUUGCUGCAGCUACUUCACCCACUUUGCUCACGUUAUCUGACUCCGACUGAUUUGAUUUGUCUGAAGUACCGUGUGCCUUCCCUUAUUUCAAAGGCAAGUGACCUACUCCAUUAACUGUUAAGUACUUUGAAGAGAGACAGGCCCCCAGAAUUUUGCUUUUUUUUUGUUUCAGGAUGAGGCAUCAGAGAGUGCUAUUAACGUUAACUUGGAUAGUAAGCUGGAUGAUGUAGCUGAGAAGAACAUAGGGGUUCAGAAGACACACUGGUUGCAUCUGAUAGCAAGAAGGACCCAUUUAAACGGCGGCAAGAACUGUUGGUGAAAAGCGAGCUUUUUGAGGUGAUACUCAUAACAUGUAUUUAACCUUUUAGUUAUUUAUUCAUCGGCAUUUCUUUUGGAGCAUGUAGUUUCACCGUUCACUAGAUCUAAAUUUAUUUUCAGUAGUGUAUAUACUGAUUUAAGGGCGACCAUUUGUUAAAGAACACCGAGUCGCAACAUUACUACGCUCCCAUAGUCACGUACCCCAUAACCUCAGCAAUAAUAUAGAUGUUCGUUUUUCUGUGCAGGUUCUCAUCGAGACUUGCAUUGAAAAUGUUGGAGAGUUACUUCGAACAAACUUUGGCAAAGAUAUAUUAUAUGAGGUAAAUCUCCUUGGUCCAUGCUCAGGUUUCUACAUGUACCUUUAUAGCCAGUAUCUUGGGAUAAUAUUCAUUCAUCUAUGAUAUUAUUAUUCAUUCAUCUAUAGCCAGGAACUACUUGUGAUAAAUAUGCUUUUACUUGCAUGCAUGACCUUCUCAAGAGACGAGCAUUGUUCCUGAUUAUUAUUCGACAAUGUGGAAAUAUUCUUAUGAGUUGAUGGAGCCUUUUCUCUGGGAUGUGUUGGUCCUUGUGCCCGUGUGUAGUAUUACUGCUAUUCAGUCUUCCUUAAUGAUGAGUCAACCUCCUGUAAAAGAAAACGGCACUCCAGUCUACACAAACCUACCUUAACUACUGUUUUCUUGGUCUUAACUCUUGAUACAAACGAUUAAUUGACUAUCGAAGAGCUUCAUGAUUGCGCCUGCUGAGAUUUUGCAUUCCAAAUUUUCCAUGGUUGCUGUAGGUGGAAAAAAUAAUGUCUUGGAGGGGGUCACCGACAGGAUUCACGCGCUCCACAAUGCUAUAGUUUGUGACGCAGCACGCCCGAGGAUAGAAGAUGUUGAGCUGAGCACGCCUUUGAUAACUACCACUCGAGCCGCAUAAUCAGAAAGAUGAUACUUGAUUGCCCUGCGUUUGCCGCUACCCUAUGGAAAAAGGCCCUCAAAGGGAAGUGCAAGCCAUUUGCGGACGGAUUCAGGUACCUCAGAAUGACUCGUCGUCGAUAUAUCAAGCUGUUUAAUCUGUUCAUCAAAUUUGUGGACCAUGCAAAUGCGAUGAAUAAAAUUUCAACUAUUCGUUGCAAUUUACGCACUGCAUUGCACUGCUGAGUUCGUAUUUUUGAAGAAAGAAAAAACACGAAAUCAUGCGCUGGUACUCUGUUGAACUUGUUGGCCGCCGCUGCAGCUCCAAGGUGGUGGCUGCCUAUAUGGAAUCUCCGGAUUCCAAGGUGGAGGAUCUUGCGAAAUCCGAGGCGCAGCCGCUCAUCAAGAGGCGGCGUCCGUGCUUGCAUGUUGGAUGAAAGAGUGUAAUACAUACAUCCGCUGUCAUCCUAGGUGAGGUGUAUGCUGAAUUUUGUCAGUGGAUACCAGUGUACUCGAAAUACGGUCAUUAAGGGGUUUAGGUUUAUAAACAUGACUGUCACUGCGGAGGUUAUAUCUGUGUGAUGUGGCAUAAGUUUGACCGCUAAUUAACCAUCACAUCUAAGCAACGGAUGAUCCCGGUAUUGAUGGAACAUGCAUUCCAUGGUGGUGCUGCGCUGCAAUUAGCUUGCCUUUUCUCUCUCUAAAUCUUCAAUCCCGUUUAUCACCCGACCUACUACGAGGGGAAAGAGAGAAGAGAGAGGUAUGGAGGAAGAAGAAUAGCAUGUACAUCAACAUGAGCCCAAUACAAGUAUAUGGAAAUUUCCAAAAAUAAAUAAAAUAAGUUACGUGAGGCGAUGUCAGCUCAUGCGUCAUCUAUCGGCGCGGUAAGGCUACAUUUUAAUCCGGUGAGUUGCCGCCUCAUGACAUGUGCAUUUGAUUCCACUCACAUUAUGAGAAGUGCAUACAUUCAGGAGGAACUCAUAUCCCCCCGUGCUAAUGUUUGGAACUCAUACUAAAACUGGCCUUCUACUUCAUCGUGUAUUUUAAAUAUUUUUCUGCAUAAAUUACAAUUUUUUUCGCUGAUUAUUGAGAAGUUGUUCACCAUGAUUUAAGAAAUGUUCGCCCGUAUUAAAAAACUUCAUCAUGUAUUAGAAAUUGUUCAUCUUGUACUUAAAAAUUGUCCGCAUUGUAAUUCAAAAUGUUUUUAUAUUCUAUUAAAGGUUUUUCAUGUAUUUUCUAAAAUAUUCAUAUAACUAAAACAUAUUUUCAUAUUUAAAAAUGUUCAAUAAUUUUAGAAGUGUCGUCCCAUAAUUUGAGAACUCAUACUAAUAUUUUCAUAUUUAAAAAUGUUCACCAAAAAACCUAAACAUGAAAAAUCUGAUCUCCAAAAAACCAAAAAAACAAAACAAAACA
rnacentral:lncRNA from 1 species